rnacentral:rRNA from 1 species
UAUCAGGUAGUAGUGGGUGUAGCGUACCUACUAGCCUACGACGGGUACGGGUUGUGAGAGCAAGAGCCCGGAGAUGGAUUCUGAGACACGAAUCCAGGCCCUACGGGGUGCAGCAGGCGCGAAAACUUUACAAUGCCGGCAACGGCGAUAAGGGGACCUCGAGUGCCAGGUUACAAAUCUGGCUGUCGUGAUGCCUAAAAAGCAUUGCAUAGCAAGGGCCGGGCAAGACCGGUGCCAGCCGCCGCGGUAACACCGGCGGCUCGAGUGGUAACCGUUAUUAUUGGGUCUAAAGGGUCUGUAGCCGGCCGGAUAAGUCUCUUGAGAAAUCUGGCAGCUUAACUGUCAGGCUUUCAGGAGAUACUGUCUGGCUCGAGGCCGGGAGAGGUGAGAGGUACUUCAGGGGUAGGGGUGAAAUCUUGUAAUCCUUGAAGGACCACCAGUGGCGAAGGCGUCUCACCAGAACGGACCUGACGGCAAGGGACGAAAGCUAGGGGCACGAACCGGAUUAGAUACCCGGGUAGUCCUAGCCGUAAACGAUACUCGCUAGGUGUCGGCCACGGUGCGACCGUUGUCGGUGCCGUAGGGAAGCCGUGAAGCGAG